UACGAAGGGGGCUAGCGUUGCUCGGAAUCACUGGGCGUAAAGGGCGCGUAGGCGGCCAUUCAAGUCGGGGGUGAAAGGCCCAGGGCUCAACCCUGGAAUUGCCUUCGAUACUGUUUGGCUAGAGACCGGAAGAGGUAAGUGGAACUGCGAGUGUAGAGGUGAAAUUCGUAGAUAUUCGCAAGAACACCAGUGGCGAAGGCGGGAUCUCUGGACAGUUCCUGACGCUGAGGCACGAAGGUCAGGGGAGCAAACGGG
rnacentral:rRNA from 1 species